rnacentral:rRNA from 1 species
UAGGGAAUAUUGCACAAUGGAGGAAACUCUGAUGCAGCGACGCCGCGUGAGUGAUGAAGGACUUCGGUUCGUAAAGCUCUGUCGUAUGGGAAUAAUAAAGUGAAUGUACCAUGCAAGAAAGGAUCGGCUAACUUCGUGCCAGCAGCCGCGGUAAGACGAGGGAUCCUAGCGUUGUUCGGAAUCAUUGGGCGUAAAGCGGAUGUAGGUGGCUUUGUAAGUCAGGUGUGAAAGCCCCGGGCUCAACCCGGGAAGUGCAUUUGAUACUGCGAAGCUUGAAUGUUGGAGAGGCUACUAGAAUACCUGGUGUAGUGGUGAAAUACGUAGAUAUCAGGUGGAAUACCGGAGGCGAAGGCGGGUAGCCAGCCAAACAUUGACACUCAGAUCCGAAAGUGUGGGGAUCAAACA